rnacentral:lncRNA from 1 species
UAGGUUGCUAAUUUAAUUUUUCUAUGGUAGUUUUGCAGGUCUAAUUGGAGUUGGAUUUUUAAAUCUUUGUUUAACCCAAUCGUGGGGACAAAGGUAAGUCCUUUAUUGAGGAGGCUGCUCUGUGCUGCUGAAAGUUUAAAAUUAUCCGCUAACACAAUAACAUUUUUUGAAAUAAGGGAAGUUAUUUCAUUAUUCCCCUCCUCUGGGAGGCUUAUGGGGACUAUAAGUUUAAAUAAGAUGACCAGUGCUGUAGCAUGGCCUCUGCAGUCUCACUGGACCAGUGGACAUCAUCAGCUGUUGUCCUGAAUUUGGAGUAAUCCAGUGCUGGGAUGAACGGUAAGUUUUUUUCAAUAUAAUCAUUUAGGAUUUCCAGAUUUGCUUGUUCUUCCAAUGGCAGCUUUUUAGAAAAGUUAAUGAUUGGGAUCCAGAUUUCUGAGUAUUUGAACAUUUUUUUUGCUGUUCUUAUAGCUCCUUGUAAUUGUUUGAUGGACGUCACUUUGGCAUUCUGGGAUUUAUGGUUAAUCCCGAAGGAUAAAACCAAUUUUAGCACCGUGAGGUCGCUGUGGGAUUUCUCCAUCAGAGCUUGGGCAUGCCUGAAGUUCGCCCCUGGAUAACUGUCAAUUUGUAAGUGGUCGUUGGUGAAUCCUGGAAUUUUGCUUACGUUUGAAUCCCCUAUAAUGACCCAUUUUUUGUUUACAGGCAGGUCCCACUCUAUCAUCUUCCUGUCUGAUCUCUGGUGUCGUGUGGGCCUCCUCACUGGUGGUGGUGGAGAAGAUGCUCUCACCAUGGAAACGGGACUGCUGUGUCAUUAGGGCCUCUGGAGGUCUCCACAGGUUGUUGCAGACUGUGUUCUUCCUCUAUCUGCAAAAUAGCCCUACCCGCAGAGAUGACACAGCCAUCGUUGGCCCCUACCAUGCGAGGCUCCCUCUGUUCUUUGGGCUGUUCAACAGGUCCCUUUGUGUUGGAGGAGGCUGUGGUACCCCCCUGGCGGCUAUCAGGGCCUCCGCAUGUUCCACCACCUCCUGGCUGAGGCGUGGCAGGUUUCUGUACGCCCAGCGUGUGGCAACUUCAAAGGCCGGCCCCCAGUUUGCAGGUAAGUCCACCUCCAACUCCUUCAACAUGGUCUCCAGACUGUCUUUGUAGUGGUUUUCUAGGAUUAACAGCGUGUUGUAACCCCAGUUUUGAGCAUUUCCAUAAAUCAGAUUCAUGGUAGUAUCUGUAGGAAAUGCUGGUUUUAUCAUGGAGCCUAAAUUUUCAACCAUCUUUGUGAUCAUGCGUGGUUCUGGUUUUCCUGGUUUAGGAGCCACAUUUUGGAGAUGGUGAACCAGUUUGAUCACCGGAUACAUUUUGCGUACCAGUUUUCCAAAUACCGGGUCAGUCGGAUCUCGGUUAUUACCUCCACCCUGUCUGAGGUCAAAGGUCACUGAUCUCUGUCUUUUACGUGCAGGUAUGUACCUACCAUCACGCACCACCGCUGCAUAGGAGCGUUUAUGAGGUCGGGGGGCUCGCUCUGAGCCGUGG